GUAGGUGGCAAGCGUUGUCCGGAAUUAUUGGGGCGUAAAGCGCGCGCAGGCGGUUCUUUAAGUCUGAUGUGAAAGCCCACGGGCUCAACCGUGGAGGGUCAUUGGAAACUGGAGAACUUGAGUACAGAAGAGGAAAGCGGAAUUCCACGUGUAGCGGUGAAAUGCGUAGAGAUGUGGAGGAACACCAGUGGCGGAGGCGGCUUUCUGGUCUGUAACUGACGCUGAGGCGCGAAAGCGUGGGGAGCAAACAGGAUUAGAUACCCUGGUAGUCCACGCCGUAAACGAUGAGUGCUAAGUGUUAGGGGGUUUCCGCCCCUUAGUGCUGCAGCUAGCGCAUUAAGCACUCCGCCUGGGGAGUACGGCCGCAAAGGCUG
rnacentral:rRNA from 1 species